rnacentral:rRNA from 1 species
UAUGUACGGCUAAGCAUUGAGGCAGUCUAAAUAGGCAAAUCCGUUUAGACGAUGCUAGGAUGUGAUGGGGAAGCCCUUCGGGGCGAAGUAGCUGAUUUCACACUGUCAAGAAAAGCUUCUAUCGAGUUUAAAGGCGCCCGUACCGUAAACCGACACAGGUGGGUGAGGAGAGCAUCCUAAGGCCAGCGAGAGAACUAUUGUUAAGGAACUCGGCAAAAUGACCCCGUAACUUAGGGAGAAGGGGUGCCUGUCUAUGACAGGCCGCAGAGAAUAGGCCCAAGCGACUGUUUACCAAAAACACAGGUUUCUGCUAAGUCGCAAGACGAUGUAUAGGAGCUGACGCCUGCCCGGUGCUGGAAGGUUAAGGGGAUCUGUUAGAGCAAUCGAAGCAGUGAACUUAAGCCCCAGUAAACGGCGGCCGUAACGAUAACGGUCCUAAGGUAGCGAAAUUCCUUGUCGGGUAAGUUCCGACCCGCACGAAAGGCGUAACGAUUUGGGCACUGUCUCAACAAUAGACUCGGUGAAAUUGUAAUCCCGGUGAAGAUGCCGGGUACCUGCGACAGGACGGAAAGACCCCAUGGAGCUUUACUGUAGCUUGACGUUGGGUCUUGGUACUACAUGUACAGGAUAGGUGGGAGACUAUGAAGCAUGGACGCCAGUCUGUGUGGAGUCAUCCUUGGGAUACCACCCUUGUAGUACUGGGAUCCUAACCAUAGGCCUUGAAUCAGGUCUUGGAACACCGUCAGGUGGGCAGUUUGACUGGGGCGGUCGCCUCCUAAAAAGUAACGGAGGCGCUCAAAGGUUUCCUCAGCACGGUCGGAAAUCGUGCGAAGAGUGUAAAGGCAAAAGGAAGCUUGAUUGCAAGACAUACAGGUCGAGCAAGGACGAAAGUCGGACUUAGUGAUCCGGUGGUACCGCAUGGAAGGGCCAUCGCUCAACGGAUAAAAGCUACCCUGGGGAUAACAGGCUUAUCUCCCCCAAGAGUCCACAUCGACGGGGAGGUUUGGCACCUCGAUGUCGGCUCAUCACAUCCUGGGGCUGUAGUAGGUCCCAAGGGUUGGGCUGUUCGCCCAUUAAAGUGGUACGCGAGCUGGGUUCAGAACGUCGUGAGACAGUUCGGUCCCUAUCCGUCGCAGGCGUAGGAAAUUUGAGAAGACCUGUCCUUAGUACGAGAGGACCGGGAUGGACGUACCUCUGGUGUACCAGUUGUUCUGCCAAGGGCAUGGCUGGGUAGCUAUGUACGGAAUGGAUAAGCGCUGAAAGCAUCUAAGCGCGAAGCCAACUUCAAGAUAAGAUUUCCCACCGUAUGGGUAAGACCCCAGUAAGACUACCUGGUUGAUAGGUCGAAGGUGUAAGUGCAGUAAUGUAUUUAGCUUAUCGAUACUAAUAGGUCGAGGACUUGAUC